rnacentral:rRNA from 1 species
AUACGGAGGGUGCAAGCGUUAAUCGGAAUUACUGGGCGUAAAGCGUACGUAGGCGGUUUAUUAAGUCAGAUGUGAAAGCCCCGGGCUUAACCUGGGAACUGCAUUUGAAACUAGUAGACUAGAGUAUGGUAGAGGGGGGUAGAAUUCCUAGUGUAGCGGUGAAAUGCGUAGAUAUUAGGAGGAAUACCAGUGGCGAAGGCGGCCCCCUGGACCAAUACUGACGCUGAGGUACGAAAGCGUGGGGAGCAAACGGGAUUAGAAACCCGAGUAGUCC